ensembl:lncRNA
AUGCAGCAACACACAGGUCAGACACGACAUCACACUCAGAGAGGAGACUGGCCCGCAUGCAGCAACACACAGGUCAGACACGACAUCACACUCAGAGAGGAGACUGGCCCGCAUGCAGCAACACACAGGUCAGACACGACAUCACACUCAGAGAGGAGACUGUCCCGCAUGCAGCAACACACAGGUCAGACACGACAUCACACUCAGAGAGGAGACUGUCCCGCAUGCAGCAACACACAGGUCAGACACGACAUCACACUCAGAGAGGAGACUGGCCCGCAUGCAGCAACACACAGGUCAGACACGACAUCACACUCAGAGAGGAGACUGGCCCGCAUGCAGCAACACACAGGUCAGACACGACAUCACACUCAGAGAGGAGACUGGCCCGCAUGCAGCAACACACAGGUCAGACACGACAUCACACUCAGAGAGGAGACUGGCCCGCAUGCAGCAACACACAGGUCAGACACGACAUCACACUCAGAGAGGAGACUGGCCCGCAUGCAGCAACACACAGGUCAGACACGACAUCACACUCAGAGAGGAGACUGGCCCGCAUGCAGCAACACACAGGUCAGACAUGACAUCACACUCAGAGAGGAGACUGGCCCGCAUGCAGCAACACACAGGUCAGACACGACAUCACACUCAGAGAGGAGACUGGCCCGCAUGCAGCAACACACAGGUCAGACACGACAUCACACUCAGAGAGGAGACUGGCCCGCAUGCAGCAACACACAGGUCAGACACGACAUCACACUCAGAGAGGAGACUGGCCCGCAUGCAGCAACACACAGGUCAGACACGACAUCACACUCAGAGAGGAGACUGGCCCGCAUGCAGCAACACACAGGUCAGACACGACAUCACACUCAGAGAGGAGACUGGCCCGCAUGCAGCAACACACAGGUCAGACACGACAUCACACUCAGAGAGGAGACUGGCCCGCAUGCAGCAACACACAGGUCAGACACGACAUCACACUCAGAGAGGAGACUGGCCCGCAUGCAGCAACACACAGGUCAGACACGACAUCACACUCAGAGAGGAGACUGGCCCGCAUGCAGCAACACACAGGUCAGACACGACAUCACACUCAGAGAGGAGACUGGCCCGCAUGCAGCAACACACAGGUCAGACACGACAUCACACUCAGAGAGGAGACUGGCCCGCAUGCAGCAACACACAGGUCAGACACGCAGCAACACACAGGUCAGACACGACAUCACACUCAGAGAGGAGACUGGCCCGCAUGCAGCAACACACAGGUCAGACACGACAUCACACUCAGAGAGGAGACUGGCCCGCAUGCAGCAACACACAGGUCAGACACGACAUCACACUCAGAGAGGAGACUGGCCCGCAUGCAGCAACACACAGGUCAGACACGACAUCACACUCAGAGAGGAGACUGGCCCGCAUGCAGCAACACACAGGUCAGACACGACAUCACACUCAGAGAGGAGACUGGCCCGCAUGCAGCAACACACAGGUCAGACACGCAGCAACACACAGGUCAGACACGACAUCACACUCAGAGAGGAGACUGGCCCGCAUGCAGCAACACACAGGUCAGACACGACAUCACACUCAGAGAGGAGACUGGCCCGCAUGCAGCAACACACAGGUCAGACACGACAUCACACUCAGAGAGGAGACUGGCCCGCAUGCAGCAACACACAGGUCAGACACGACAUCACACUCAGAGAGGAGACUGGCCCGCAUGCAGCAACACACAGGUCAGACACGACAUCACACUCAGAGAGGAGACUGGCCCGCAUGCAGCAACACACAGGUCAGACACGACAUCACACUCAGAGAGGAGACUGGCCCGCAUGCAGCAACACACAGGUCAGACAUGACAUCACACUCAGAGAGGAGACUGGCCCGCAUGCAGCAACACACAGGUCAGACACGACAUCACACUUAGAGAGGAGACUGUCCCGCAUGCAGCAACACACAGGUCAGACACGACAUCACACUCAGAGAGGAGACUGGCCCGCAUGCAGCAACACACAGGUCAGACACGACAUCACACUCAGAGAGGAGACUGGCCCGCAUGCAGCAACACACAGGUCAGACACGACAUCACACUCAGAGAGGAGACUGGCCCGCAUGCAGCAACACACAGGUCAGACACGACAUCACACUCAGAGAGGAGACUGGCCUGCAUGCAGCAACACACAGGUCAGACACGACAUCACACUCAGAGAGGAGACUGGCCCGCAUGCAGCAACACACAGGUCAGACACGACAUCACACUCAGAGAGGAGACUGGCCCGCAUGCAGCAACACACAGGUCAGACACGCAGCAACACACAGGUCAGACACGCAGCAACACACAGGUCAGACACGACAUCACACUCAGAGAGGAGACUGGCCCGCAUGCAGCAACACACAGGUCAGACACGACAUCACACUCAGAGAGGAGACUGGCCCGCAUGCAGCAACACACAGGUCAGACACGACAUCACACUCAGAGAGGAGACUGGCCCGCAUGCAGCAACACACAGGUCAGACACGACAUCACACUCAGAGAGGAGACUGGCCCGCAUGCAGCAACACACAGGUCAGACACGACAUCACACUCAGAGAGGAGACUGGCCCGCAUGCAGCAACACACAGGUCAGACACGACAUCACACUCAGAGAGGAGACUGGCCCUCAUGCAGCAACACACAGGUCAGACACGCAGCAACACACAGGUCAGACACGACAUCACACUCAGAGAGGAGACUGGCCCGCAUGCAGCAACACACAGGUCAGACACGACAUCACACUCAGAGAGGAGACUGGCCCGCAUGCAGCAACACACAGGUCAGACACGACAUCACACUCAGAGAGGAGACUGGCCCGCAUGCAGCAACACACAGGUCAGACACGACAUCACACUCAGAGAGGAGACUGGCCCGCAUGCAGCAACACACAGGUCAGACACGACAUCACACUCAGAGAGGAGACUGGCCCGCAUGCAGCAACACACAGGUCAGACACGACAUCACACUCAGAGAGGAGACUGGCCCGCAUGCAGCAACACACAGGUCAGACACGACAUCACACUCAGAGAGGAGACUGGCCCGCAUGCAGCAACACACAGGUCAGACACGACAUCACACUCAGAGAGGAGACUGGCCCGCAUGCAGCAACACACAGGUCAGACACGACAUCACACUCAGAGAGGAGACUGGCCCGCAUGCAGCAACACACAGGUCAGACACGACAUCACACUCAGAGAGGAGACUGGCCCGCAUGCAGCAACACACAGGUCAGACACGACAUCACACUCAGAGAGGAGACUGGCCCGCAUGCAGCAACACACAGGUCAGACACGACAUCACACUUAGAGAGGAGACUGGCCCGCAUGCAGCAACACACAGGUCAGACACCUGACAUUGAGCUUGUUGGUGAGGAUCCGCCUGAUCAAGGCACAAUCACUCAUCUAUUUGGGAUGCGAGAUGAUUUGUAG